CCAUUCUUAGAGUCAGCCUGCCCAGUGAUAACAUUCAACGGCCGCAGUACCCUAACUGCGCGAAGGUAGCAUAAUCACUUGUUCUUUAAAUAGGGACUAGUAUCAACGGCAUCACGAGGGUUGCACUGUCUCCUUUGUCUAAUCAGUGAAACUGAUCUCCCCGUGAAAAAGCGGGGAUACACCUAUAAGACGAGAAGACCCCAUGGAGCUUUAAACCUACAGCAACUCAACCACAUAAUCCCACACAACCUUAGAGACAUGCCUGUUGGCUUUAGGUUGGGGUGACCGCGGAGUAAAAAUCAUCCUCCACAACACAAAGAUCUAAAUCUUUAUUCAAGAGCCACUACUCUAAAAAUUAGCAUACUAAUGUACACUGACCCGAUAAUCGACUAAUGAACCAAGUUACCCUGGGGAUAACAGCGCAAUCUAUUUCAAGAGUUCAUAUCGACAAAUAGGCUUACGACCUCGAUGUUGGAUCAGGGUACCCUAGUGGUGUAGCAGCUACUGAAGGUUCGUUUGUUCAACGAUUAAAACCCUACGUGAUCUGUUU
rnacentral:rRNA from 1 species